rfam:Oryza sativa Japonica Group DNA, chromosome 6, cultivar: Nipponbare, complete sequence.
AAAAUGACAAACCAUGGAUUUCCGUGUUCAACGUUUGACCGUUCGUCUUAUUUGAAAAAAUUAUGAAAAAAAAAAAUUAAAAAGACAAGUCACGCAUAAAGUAUUAAUCAUGUUUUAUCAUCUAACAACAAUGAAAAUAGUAAUUAUAAAAAAAAUCAUAUAAGACGGACAGUCAACCGUUAGACACGGAAACCUAGGGUUUGUUUUUUU